rnacentral:lncRNA from 1 species
GGGGGGGGACCGGUGCGGGGAACGCGCCUCGCCAGCUGUCCAAGGUUGCCCGGCUGGCGUAGACAUGCGUGACCCCCUCCCUCACCUGGCCCCCACGUUAUCCCCGAAUUCCCGACAACAUGCGUGCAGAUGACUGACUUCCCAGGAUAGUGAGGACUGUGUGGUCCUCUUGGUAUCUUGACCUGGUAGCCAGUGUCACCAGCUGGUCUGCCAACUGGGAAGGAGGAGGCCCUUCCAUAAGGGGGAUCCAACACCCAGAUGAAUUAGUUGGUCAACUGGUUAGCAUUUUCUGUCCCUGUAUCCUAUGAGUGUCUGUAACCUUUAUAGUGAAGUGCUAUAAAACGCCUGCUUAAUCCCUGCCUAGUGAGUUUCAAAUCUUAGCUGCUGAACAACCACUAGGUAAAAAAUAUAUAAAUUACUUUGACAC